rnacentral:rRNA from 1 species
GAUCCUGGCUCAGGAUGAACGCUGGCGGCGUGCUUAACACAUGCAAGUCGAACGGAGUAUGUUAACCGAGACCUUCGGGUCUCACCUGAUAUACUUAGUGGCGGACGGGUGAGUAACGCGUGAGCAACCAACCUUAUGCAGAGGGAUAACAAUUAGAAAUGAUUGCUAAUACCUCAUAAGACCACGCUAUCGCAUGGUAAAGUGGGAAAAACUCCGGUGGCAUAAGACGGGCUCGCGUUCGAUUAGCUAGAUGGUGGGGUAACGGCCUACCAUGGCGACGAUCGAUAGCCGGACUGAGAGGUCGACCGGCCACAUUGGGACUGAGACACGGCCCAGACUCCUACGGGAGGCAGCAGUGGGGAAUAUUGCACAAUGGGGGAAACCCUGAAUGCAGCGACGCCGCGUGAGUGAAGAAGUAUUUCGGUAUGUAAAGCUCUUUUAGCAGGGAAGAUGAUGACGGUACCUGCAGAAAAAGCCCCGGCUAAAUACGUGCCAGCCGCCGC